GUCUAUGGUCAUACCACCCUGAACGCACCCGAUCUCAUCUGAUCUCGGAAGCGAAAAGGGUUGGACCUGGUUAGUACUUAGAAGGGGAGAAAUCUAUUUUCAUUAUUAAGUUCAGGCUACGUAUUUU
rnacentral:rRNA from 1 species